rnacentral:rRNA from 1 species
UACGGAGGGUGCAAGCGUUGUCCGGAUUUAUUGGGUUUAAAGGGUGCGUAGGCGGUCUUUUAAGUCAGUGGUGAAAGCCUCCAGCUUAACUGGAGAACUGCCAUUGAUACUGGAAGACUUGAGUACAGACGAGGUAGGCGGAAUUGACAGUGUAGCGGUGAAAUGCAUAGAGAUCGGGAGGAAUGCCAGUGGCGAAAGCGGCUCUCUGGUCCUAAACUGACGCUGAGGGGCGAAAGCGUGGGGAGCGAACGGG